GUUCAAUUUAAAAAGUGAUGAAGAUCAAACUCAAUAAUAAGAUCAUCAAUUUUUUUAAUAUUUAUUUUUUUAGUUGUCAUUGGACCCAAUAUCUUUAUUUUAUUUAUUUAUUUUUAUGUGGUGCUGAGGAUUGAAUCCACGGCCUUGCACUUGCUAGGCAAGCACUCUACCACUGAGCCACAAUCCCAGCCUCUGGAGCACCCAGUUUUUAAAAUGGGCUCAAGAUCUGAAUAGGCAGUUCUUCAAAAAAGAUAUACAAAUGUUCAAUAAGCACAUAAAAAGAUGUUCAACAUCAUUAGUCAUCAGGGAAAUGCAAAUCAAAACCAUAAUGAGAUACCAUUUCACACAUGGUAGGAUAACCAUAAUAAUUUAAAAAAAUGUUGAUGAAGAUACGGUGAUUUGGAACCCUUAUCCUUUGCUGUUGACAAUAUAAAAUGAAAUGGCUGUUUUGGAAAACCGUCUGGCAGUUCCUGAAAAGGCUAAACAGGAUAAACAGCACCUGGAAUACCAGUUGCAAUAGACUACUAUAAUUCCACUCCUAGAAAUAUACCCAAGGAAUGAAAACAUGUU
rnacentral:lncRNA from 1 species